AAAUGUUUUAUUUGUCACAUAAAAUGACAACAAAAAUAUAUGUAUAAUUGUGUAAUCUUUCUUUUAAUAAACAUUGAAAAUGGGUCAGACAGACCCGAACACCACACAAGGGUUAAGCAUCCUCAUCACCAUCUCUACACACCCUGCUUUCAUAAUAACUUUUACUGUGGUUUCAACCACAUGGAAUGCAGCCCAGCAGAUGCUGUUAAAGGAGAUCUACCUCUACAUUGUUAUUGUCAGAACAUUAAAGUCUCUCCCUACUAUUAUAACUGAGAUAGAAAGGACUAGCAGGGUGCAACGUACUUCAACUCCUUUACAUACUAUUAUAAUUGAGACAGAAAGGCCUAGCAGGGUGCAACGUACUCCAACUCCUUUACAUACUAUUAUAAUUGAGACAGAAAGGCCUAGCAGGGUGCAACGUACUCCAACUCCUUUACAUACUAUUAUAAUUGAGACAGAAAGGCCUAGCAGGGUGCAACGUACUCCAACUCCUUUACAUACUAUUAUAAUUGAGACAGAAAGGCCUAGCAGGGUGCAACGUACUCCAACUCCUUUACAUACUAUUAUAAUUGAGACAGAAAGGCCUAGCAGGGUGCAACGUACUCCAACUCCUUUACAUACUAUUAUAAUUGAGACAGAAAGGCCUAGCAGGGUGCAACGUACUCCAACUCCUUUACAUACUAUUAUAAUUGAGACAGAAAGGCCUAGCAGGGUGCAACGUACUCCAACUCCUUUACAUACUAUUAUAAUUGAGACAGAAAGGCCUAGCAGGGUGCAACGUACUCCAACUCCUUUACAUACUAUUAUAAUUGAGACAGAAAGGCCUAGCAGGGUGCAACGUACUCCAACUCCUUUACAUACUAUUAUAAUUGAGACAGAAAGGCCUAGCAGGGUGCAACGUACUCCAACUCCUUUACAUACUAUUAUAAUUGAGACAGAAAGGCCUAGCAGGGUGCAACGUACUCCAACUCCUUUACAUACUAUUAUAAUUGAGACAGAAAGGCCUGGGGGGGUUCAACUUGUCAAGCAGAUGCCCCUGCAGCCAUAGACAACUUCCGGUGAGAACAUCAGGUUUCUAACUAUCCUCAACAUGUAAAUCUGACAGGAGAAAACAUCGGGUUUCUAACUAUCCUCAACAUGUAAAUCUGACAGGAGAGAACAUCAGGUUUCUAACUAUCCUCAACAUGUAAAUCUGACAGGAGAAAACAUCUGGUUUCUAACUAUCCUCAACAUGUAAAUCUGACAGGAGAAAACAUCGGGUUUCUAACUAUCCUCAACAUGUAAAUCUGACAGGAGAAAACAUCUGGUUUCUAACUAUCCUCAACAUGUAAAUCUGACAGGAGAAAACAUCUGGUUUCUAACUAUCCUCAACAUGUAAAUCUGACAGGAGAAAACAUCUGGUUUCUAACUAUCCUCAACAUGUAAAUCUGACAGGAGAAAACAUCUGGUUUCUAACUAUCCUCAACAUGUAAAUCUGACAGGAGAAAACAUCUG